UUUUUUUUUUUUUUGAAGUAAAAAACUCUCUUCCUCUUCCCCCAUCUCUCUCUCUCUCUCAACCCUAACUCUAAUUCCCUUCCGAGAUCUCCUCGCAUGUCUCAUCUUACGCAUGAUCGAUGGACGAAGAGUCGACUCUUCUCCCCUUUUGCAGCUAAUCGGAACCAUAGCCUCUCUCAGAGACUUGGUCUUCAUGAUUGGAGAUGAUAAGAACAUCCUCUAAUUCAAAUAUUAGUGUUUUGACAGGAGUCGCAGGUUUUCUUGGCCAUCUAAAAGUUUCGGUGUGUGAUGCAAGGAAAAGCAGAAGAAUAAGGUGAAAGAUUAAUAUAAUAUAUGAAUGAGAAGCCAGUAUGGCUUAAUGAAUGAUUACGACAUCAAGAAUGGGAAAAGGAACUUUGAACAAAAGUGGGA